rnacentral:rRNA from 1 species
AUUGAACGCUGGCGGCAUGCCUUACACAUGCGAGUCGAACGGCAGCAUGAUCUGGCUGGCUAGAUUGAUGGCGAGUGGCACACGGGUGAGUCAUAUAGCGAAACGUGCUCUGAGAUGGGGGUAAACUAGUCGAACGAGUAGCAAAUACGGCAAACGACCUGAAGGGGAAGGUGGGGUACCGAAAGGCGGCAUUCCAGACAAUCGGCCAAGGACUGAUUAGCUAGUUGGUGAGGUAAAGGCUCACCAAGGCGACGAUCAGUAGCUGGUCUGAGAGGAGGAUCAGCCACACUGGAACUGAGACACGGUCCAGACUCCUACGGGAGGCAGCAGUGGGGAAUCUUGCACAAUGGGCGAAAGCCUGACCCAGCAAUGCCGCGUGUGUGAUGAAGGCCUUCGGGUUGUAAAGCUCUUUUGUUCGGAAAGAAAAAGCUCUGAUUAAUCCCUGGGCUUGUUGACGGUACCGGAAGAGUAAGCCCCGGCUAACUACGUG